rnacentral:rRNA from 1 species
AUGGACGAGGAGGAGAUUGAGGGGGUGCCGGCCUUCUUCCACCGCCACCCUCUCCUCCUCUGCUUCCUCCUCUUCCUCGCCUUCACCUACGCCUUGGUCUACCCCGUCUUCGCCUUCAUCCUCGCCGCCGCCCCCGUCCUCGUCCUCACCGCCCUCCUCCUCGGCCUCGUCCUCCUCCACAGCGUGCCCCAGGACCACGACCCACAUGUCUACAACAAGAUCAGCCACCGCCCACCUCAAGUCCAACCAAGCACCACAGGCGCCAUCACCACACAUCACCACCGACCCUCCCACGAAUCCAGCGACUCCUCCUCCUCCGUCGACGAAAAUGACCACCACCCACCCACCGUGUCCAACGCCACCUCGCACGCCUCCUUCCCCGACACCGCCGCCAACAGCGAAUCAGAAUCAACCGACUCUGACCACGAAGAAAGGCAGCACAACCACCAGCGCUCCGAGAAAAAGGACGCGGUGCGGGCCGUCGCGUGGACGGCUGAUGACGCCAAGAGCAUCGAGAACAUCGGCUCGCUCGAGCUCGAGAUGAACGCCACCGUCGAGAAGCUCAUGUCCAGGCGCCGCGCCCGCGGCCACCAGCGACCUCUCCACCACCACCACCAGCAGCAGCACGUCAUGGAGCUUGACGACCCGUCCAAGCUCAGCAUCGCCACCAGGAAGAGGAACCCCUUCGACCUCGACGGGCCCUACGACGAAGACGACAACUUCCCCGACUCCGCACCCUCCAUGCUCGGCCUACGCCCCUCGCGCAACCCCUUCUUCGAUGAUAUGGACGACGAUCUCCAGCACCAAGCACCACCGGAGCCGUCGUCCAUCCCAGGGGCCCCGGCAGCGCAGAAGAAUGCCAUGCUGUUCCGACGGCAUGAGAGCUUCACCGUGGGUGCGCCGUACGUGAGCGACUUCCGGCCAUCCCGCUUCAGGCCCUACUUCGUCACCGAGAAGAUGCAGGGCCAGCCGGUGACGGUUCCCGAGGCCAGCCGCGAGAGCAGCUCCUCGUCCACGUCUUCCUCCUCUGCGGGUGCCACUGCUUAUGCCUAUGCCUAUGCCUAUGCCUACGCCUCCGCCAACAAAGAAGAAGAGGCAGCAGCAGAACAAGAAGAAGCUUUGGCAGCAGUAGAAGCAGAAGCAGCAACAAUGUUGGAGGAGGUGAAGCCUACCGUUGAGUACAGCAGCAGGUCUCAUGAGGUGGCGGCGGUGGACGUGGAGCUCAUCAGCGACUCUUCCGACGACGACAUGACACUGCCUGGUGGUGGCCAUGCCCAUAAAGGGCAGCAUGUACAGGCACAGCAGCAGCAGCAGGAGGAGGAGGAGGUGGCUGAGCAGGAGCAGCAAAUGACGAUGGAGCAGGAGCAGGAGCAGCGAAUGAAGCAGGAGCAGCGAAUGAAGCAGCAGUUGGCUGAGCAGGAGCAGCGGAUGAAGCAGGCGGCUGAGCAAGAGCAGCAAAUGAAGAUGGAGCAGGAGCAGCAAAUGAAGCUGCAGCAGGAGCAGCAGAUGAAGCUGCAGCAGGAGCAGCAGAUGAAGGAGCAGCGAAUGAAGCAGCAGUUGGCUGAGCAGGAGCAGCAAAUGAAGCAGGCGGCUGAGCAAGAGCGGCAAAUGAAAAUGCAGCAGCAGCAGCAGUUGGCGUUAUCAGACGAUGACGAGGGGGAUUCGUUUGAGGUGGAGAGCAUCACGAAACAAGUAGCAGCGGCGGCGGCGGGCAAAACCAAGCAGCUUGAGACAGAUCCUGCAUACGACUACAGCCCGUCAAAGACGGAGAAGGCAGCAUUUGCCCAGUUACCUCCUCCGGCGCCGCCAAAUAAGCUGCAGACGAUGCGGAGAGUGUUCUCAGAAGAAGACGCGGACGAGCCAUGGGCAGCGCCGAGCGGACUGGAGGAGACAGCUGAGGAUGAGGGCAGGGAGCAAGACCCUCCUCUUUCUGCUCCUGCUGCUGGUGCUGCCCCUCCUCUUUCUGCGGCCGCCAAGAAAGCUAUCGGCAAGUCCACCAAGUACAAGCCGCCAUCCAAGAAGGCAGUCUUAGGCUUCUUCCGCAAGUGA